ACCCAUCCAAACGUAAAAUGAUAAAAAAUAAAAUUAUUUUCCCGUUAAAUUUUUUUCCUCUUUUAUUUUCCAAGGAAAAAAUGCAACCAAUAUUAUUAUCUUAUAGCACUCAACAUAUUCAGCUAUAUUUCUCAAUAAAUUCUGUUGAUUAGGAAUUAGGACAAAACUAUAGAAAAUUCUACGGUAAAAAUAAAGUAAAUACUACUUCAUCAAUAACCACUAUAGAUUAUAUUGAAUCAAAUAAAA
rnacentral:misc_RNA from 1 species